AUUGAACGCUGGCGGCAGGCCUAACACAUGCAAGUCGAGCGAGCGGCGGACGGGUGAGUAACGUCUGUGAAACUGCCUGAUGGAGGGGGGUAACUACUGGAAACGGUAGCGAAUAUCGCACACCCCCAGAUGUGUCCAGAUGGGAUUUUCUCGUAGGUGGGGUAACGGCUCACCCAGGCGCCAAUCCCUAGCUGGUCUGAGAGGAUGACCAGCCACACUGGAACUGAGACACGGUCCAGACUCCUACGGGAGGCAGCAGUGGGGAAUAUUGCACAAGGGGCGCAAGCCUGAUGCAGCCAUGCCGCGUGUGUGAAGAAGGCCUUCGGGUUGUAAAGCACUUUCAGAGGGGAGGCGUUACCCGCAGAAGAAGCACCGGCUAACUCCGUGCCAGCAGCCGCGGUAAUUC
rnacentral:rRNA from 1 species